rnacentral:lncRNA from 1 species
UGGAGUGGGGAGAACACGUCGCGACUUCGUACUACAUUCUUGAUUGGAUUGGUUGGUCGGUUUGAGCUGGUUUCAAACAGAAAUAUAAAGUGCGGCUGGGCGUUAUGCAUUUCGUGUAUCUGGUACACAAAUGAUUAAUUUGAAUGCUUCAUUCUCCGAAGUAUUCAAUUUACGGUUAUUCUUGAAAAGCGACUAUAUUGUGGCGAUUGAUUCCGACAAAUUAAUGUAGUACUACGGCGUACAAAGCUACUCGUGCGUGUGGGAUCCGCGUAUCCAAGCCUCCAAGAUACCUAGCAGCGCGCCUUGGUGGCUGGAUACGAAACCGUUCUUCCCCUGCCGCCUCAGAUGAUGCCAUAUAGCUGGCGUACGACGACGACGACGACGCCCAUCGGUGAUCAGAGAUCAUAUCUCAGCUGUCCAGGGACCGAAUUUAUUGAAAUCAGAUUUAAAUGAAAGUUCGUCCCCGAUUUAUAUGUCGAAAGUGAUCUUAUAUUUGCUGUCAUGUUAUGAAUAAGGGAGAUAUUUGAUGAAACGUGAACCCAACUCCGCUUUUCUGCUGCCCUAGCAGUAUAGAUACUCUGUAGUCCGCCCGUUCUUUUAAACGUAUGUAUGUAUGUACAUACGCCAAUGCCCCGUCUUCACGCUGUGUUUAACUCGGUUGGAUAAACGAGACGCGUUAGCAGUCUGAAGGAGUUAGCAGUUAGAAGUUAGCAUGAAAUUAUCCCCAAUGCGUCUCGUUUAUUGUCCUUUUCUUGCAACACUCAUUUCGAAUGCAUCAGUGGCAAGUGUCUAC